AUGGCAAUGCCCAAUACCAAUAGCAUGUUGAGCUUUUCAUGUAUAGCUUAUGCAGCUAUUGUCGUCCUAGCCCUAGGCAGUAGAACCUGUAGUUGCUUGCAGUUUACUUAUCCCAACUUCAACGCAAUCAAUAUGGAUGAUUUCACCUUCAGCCCAGGCUCAACAAUUGCAGAUGGCGCCUUGCAGAUCACCCCAAGUACCGGAAACAUGCGCCACCGGUCGGGGAGAGUGGUUUAUGCAAGGGAAACCCUCAAGCUGUGGAACAACAAGCGCAUGGCGCCCACCUUGUUCAGGACAGAUUUCCUGCUCAACAUCCAACCCGGUCAGAAUGGGGCUGGAGAAGGUAUGGCAUUUGUGCUCACAAACAAUCCAUCGUUGCCCAGCAACAGCAAUGGCCAGUGGCUUGGCAUAUGCAAUGACACGACAGACGGCACGAAUACGGACCCAGUUGUAGCCGUCGAGUUUGACACGAGAAAGAGCUAUGAGGAUGACCUUGACGGCAACCAUGUUGGCAUCGACAUCAACAACAUCAAAUCUAUUCGACAGUACCCGCUUAGUAAUGUUUCCAUCAUCCUCUCAAGUGGCUCUGAUGUAUGGGUCAGUAUCAGGUACCACGGCACAUCAAAAUUGUUUCAAGUAUUUCUAGUCCAACACAGCAUCCGUGGGCGGUAUGUCUACCAAGGAGAUAUCUACAUUGAUCUAUCACAGCUUCUGCAGGACAAGAUAUAUUUGGUAUUUGCAGGUUCCACUGGCAACUUCACCCAACUGAACCAGAUAAAGUCGUGGAACUUCACCAUGAUAAAUGAAUAA
rnacentral:rRNA from 1 species